CUGAACAAGCAUACUCGUGACUUUUGAGUGUAAAACCACUGUACUGCAAAAAUGAGCUGUUUGAGGAAAAUGAUAACUGUGAACAAUUUUACUCAGAGUACAAUACAACAAAACCUCUAACGUCAAAGAUUUGCGACGUCAAUUUACGGAUUUUAAGUGAGUGUACUCAGUAUCCCGGUUCGGUUCAUGAAUCCCAUAUUUGGAAUCAAAGCAAUGUUAAGGAGCUCAUGGAAUAUUUACAUAAAAAUGGAACGUCAUACAUGUUAUAUGGGAAUUCAGGUUAUGCACUCCGACCGUGGUUGAUGACACCAUUUUUAAACCCACUUAUCGGGUCCCCGGAAGCUGCAUACAACGAGACGUUUUGUCGUGUUAGAUCUACCAUUGAGAGAUGCAAUGGAGUUUUGAAGAUGCGUUUUCGAUGUCUCCUCAAACACCGAGUACUACAUUAUUCACCGAGUAAAGCAUCUAAAAUUAUAAAAAGUUGUAUAAUGCUGCAUAAUUUGUGCAUCAAUGACAAUGUACCAUUAGUAGUAAAUGAACCACUCGAAGUUGAAGAUGUAGAUUUUGGAAUUAUUCCAC